GAUGAACGCUGGCGGCGUGCCUAAUACAUGCAAGUCGAGCGAAGCGGGGACGGGUGAGUAACACGUGGAUAACCUCCUAUAAGACUGGGAUAACUUCGGGAAACCGGAGCUAAACCGGAAAAUUUAAGAUCGACCCCCGCUGCAUUAGCUAGUUGGUAAGGUAACGGCUUACCAAGGCAACGAUGCAUAGCCGACCUGAGAGGGUGAUCGGCCACACUGGAACUGAGACACGGUCCAGACUCCUACGGGAGGCAGCAGUAGGGAAUCUUCCGCAAUGGGCGAAAGCCUGACGGAGCAACGCCGCGUGAGUGAUGAAGGUCUUCGGAUCGUAAAACUCUGUUAUUAGGGAAGCGGUACCUAAUCAGAAAGCCACGGCUAACUACGUGCCAGCAGCCGCGGUAAUUC
rnacentral:rRNA from 1 species